CAAGUUUACGAAUACGAGUAGAACGGUGCUGAAAUGACGUCACUCAGGUCGCAGGGGAAAAUAAUCGAUCCGAGAUUCUUCCAACCACGCAUGCGCAUGCAGCCCCAGAGGCAGACAGACAUGUUGGGCAACAGCCGACAGGGUGGCGCUGCUAGCUCCGAAGGAACAUCACAGGUUACACUUGAUUCUGCGGAGGAGCCCAUGGUACUGAAGUGUAUGUCAUGCUCCUGUGCAGCAGACUGCACACUUCAGUACCCUGAGCUUCAAGACUGUGCCGCUGCCACUCCCAUGUACCAGCACAUUGCAGACUGAGCACCUGCUGAGGACACAGGGCUUCUUCUGGAUCCUCACAUCAUGGCCAGCGGGGAAAAACUGAAACACAUUCAUCCACAACCGGGGAUAUGCAAAUUGCUGCAUGGGCUUGAUGACCUUCAUUGGU